rnacentral:rRNA from 1 species
CAUGUCCUUUUGUUUUUAUAUAAGGUCUAACCUGCCCAAUGAUUAUUAUUCAAUGGCCGCGGUAUUUUAACUGUGCUAAGGUAGCAUAAUCAUUUGUCUUUUAAUUGAAGGCUGGUAUGAAUGGUUGGACGAGGCAUAAUCUUUCUUUAGUUUAAUUUAUGAAUUUAAUUUUUUAGUUAAAAAGCUAAAAUUUAUUUGUUGGACGAGAAGACCCUAUAGAUCUUUAUAUUUAAUUUUAGUUAAUUAAUUUGGUUUAUUUAUUAGUUGGAUUGAUUUAAGUAUUUGGUUGGGGUGACUGUAGAAUUUAAUUAACUUCUAUUUUUGUUUUUUCAUUAAUUUAUGUAUUUUUGAUCCAUUAUUAGUGAUUAUAAGAUUAAGUUACCUUAGGGAUAACAGCGUAAUUUUUUUGGAGAGUUCAUAUCGAUAGAAGAGUUUGCGACCUCG